rnacentral:tRNA from 1 species
UGUCAGCUUGGCAGAUUAAUUGUAUCAAAUUUAGAAUUUGAAGAUGGGUUUCCAGUUGAUAU